rnacentral:rRNA from 1 species
UACGUAGGGGGCAAGCGUUGUCCGGAAUUAUUGGGCGUAAAGCGCGCGCAGGCGGUUGGUAAAGUCUGGUGUAUAAUCCUAAGGCUCAACCUUAGGCCGCACUGGAAACUGGCUAACUAGAGUGUAGGAGAGGAAAGUGGAAUUCCACGUGUAGCGGUGAAAUGCGUAGAGAUGUGGAGGAACACCAGUGGCGAAGGCGACUUUCUGGCCUAUAACUGACGCUGAGGCGCGAAAGCGUGGGGAGCAAACAGG